rnacentral:rRNA from 1 species
CGGAACGGGUGAGUAAUACAUCGAACGUGCCCGAUCGUGGGGGAGUAACGGAGCGAAAGCUUUGCUAAUACCGCAUACGAUCUACGGAUGAAAGCAGGGGACCGCAAGGCCUUGCGCGGACGGAGCGGCCGAUGGCAGAUUAGGUAGUUGGUGGGAUAAAAGCUUACCAAGCCGACGAUCUGUAGCUGGUCUGAGAGGACGACCAGCCACACUGGGACUGAGACACGGCCCAG